GGUAGUCCACGCCGUAAACGGUGGGCACUAGUUGUGGGAACCUUCCACGGUUUCUGCGACGCAGCUAACGCAUUAAGUGCCCCGCCUGGGGAGUACGAUCGCAAGAUUAAAACUCAAAGGAAUUGACGGGGCCCCGCACAAGCAGCGGAGCAUGCGGCUUAAUUCGACGCAACGCGAAGAACCUUACCAAGGCUUGACAUAUACAGGAAUAUGGCAGAAAUGUCAUAGCCGCAAGGUCUGUAUACAGGUGGUGCAUGGUUGUCGUCAGCUCGUGUCGUGAGAUGUUGGGUUAAGUCCCGCAACGAGCGCAACCCUCGUUCUGUGUUGCCAGCAUUUAGUUGGGGACUCACAGGAGACUGCCGGGGUUAACUCGGAGGAAGGUGGGGAUGACGUCAAAUCAUCAUGCCCCUUAUGUCUUGGGCUGCACGCAUGCUACAAUGGCUGGUACAAACGGCUGCGAUACCGCAAGGUGGAGCGAAUCCGAUAAAGCCAGUCUCAGUUCGGAUUGGGGUCUGCAACUCGACCCCAUGAAGUCGGAGUUGCUAAUAAUCGUAGAUCAGCAACGCUACGGUGAAUACGUUCCCGGGGCUUGUACACACCGCCCGUCACGUCACGAAAGUCGGUAACACCCGAAGUCAGUGCCCUAACCGUAAGGG
rnacentral:rRNA from 1 species